rnacentral:rRNA from 1 species
AUUGAUAACCUGCCUUUGAGAUGGGAAUAACUGCGUUUCGAGCAAUCGGAACUACCGAAAGGGCUGCUAAUACCCAAUAAUACUAUAGGCGCAAAAGCACUUGUGGUCAAAUGCUAGGAAUUCUGUUCCUUGUGCUUAAAGAGGGGUUAAUGUCCUAUCAGCUAGUUGGUGGGGUAAUGGCCUACCAAGGCAAAGACGGGUAGCCGGCUUGAGAGGGUGGUCGGCCACACUGGGACUGAGACACUGCCCAGACUCCUACGGGAGGCUGCAGUCGAGAAUCUUUCGCAAUGCCCGAAAGGGUGACGAAGCGACGCCGCGUGUGGGAAGAAGGCCUUCGGGUUGUAAACCACUGUCGGGAGUUAGGAAAUGCAGGUGCGUUAAUAGCGCACUUGCUUGACUAAGGCUCCAGAGGAAGCCACGGCUAACUCUGUGCCAGCAGCCGCGGUAAUACAGAGGCGGCAAGCGUUGUUCGGAAUUAUUGGGCGUAAAGAGCACGUAGGCGGCCUUGCAAGUCAGUUGUGAAAGCCUUCCGCUUAACGGAAGAACGGCAUCUGAUACUACAGGGCUUGAGUACGGG